UACGGAGGGGGCUAGCGUUGUUCGGAAUUACUGGGCGUAAAGCGCACGUAGGCGGCUUUGUAAGUUAGAGGUGAAAGCCCGGGGCUCAACCUCGGAAUUGCCUUUAAGACUGCAUCGCUAGAAUUGUGGAGAGGUAAGUGGAAUUCCGAGUGUAGAGGUGAAAUUCGUAGAUAUUCGGAAGAACACCAGUGGCGAAGGCGACUUACUGGACACAUAUUGACGCUGAGGUGCGAAAGCGUGGGGAGCAAACAGG
rnacentral:rRNA from 1 species